GACGUAGGGCGCGAGCGUUGUCCGGAUUUACUGGGCGUAAAGCGCGUUCAGGCGGUUUGGCAAGUCGGGCAUGAAAUCUCUCGGCUCAACCGGGAGAGGUUGUCCGAUACUUCCAGACUUGAGGGCAGUAGAGGGUGGUGGAAUUCCGGGUGUAGUGGUGAAAUGCGUAGAUAUCCGGAGGAACACCAGUGGCGAAAGCGGCCACCUGGACUGCACCUGACGCUGACACGCGAAAGCUAGGGGAGCGAACGGG
rnacentral:rRNA from 1 species